rnacentral:rRNA from 1 species
CCUACGGGUGGCAGCAGUAAGGGAUAUUGGUCAAUGGGGGAAACCCUGAACCAGCAACGCCGCGUGAGGGAAGACGGUUUUCGGAUUGUAAACCUCUGUCCUCUGUGAAGAUGAUGACGGUAGCAGAGGAGGAAGCUCCGGCUAACUACGUGCCAGCAGCCGCGGUAAUACGUAGGGAGCGAGCGUUAUCCGGAUUCAUUGGGUUUAAAGGGUGCGCAGGCGGGCCUUUAAGCCGGCGGUGAAAUCGCGGGGCUCAACCCCGCCGAGCCGUCGGAACUGGGGGCCUUGAGUGCGGCGGAGGCAUGCGGAAUGCGCGGUGUAGCGGUGAAAUGCAUAGAUAUCGCGCAGAACCCCGAUUGCGAAGGCAGCGUGCCGUGCCGCCACUGACGCUGAGGCACGAAAGCGCGGGGAUCGAACAGGAUUAGAUACCCCUGUAGUC